AAGAUUGAUGGUUUAAUUGGAAGAACACCUAGCUCAUCACUGGAAGUGCGAGUUCAAACCUCGCUCAAUCUUU
rnacentral:tRNA from 1 species